GAUGGACGCUGACAGAAUGCUUAACACAUGCAAGUCGAUGGGGAAGUGGUGCUUGCACCAUGGCAACCAUGGCGGACGGGUGAGUAACGCGUAAGGGACUUACCUGCAGGACUGGGAUAACAGGGGGAAACUCCUGACAAGACCGGAUAAUGUCAUGGAGCUGCAUGGCUUUAUGAUGAAAGGAGACGCCUGCGGAGAGCCUUGCGUCCUAUUAGCUAGUUGGUGAGGUAAUGGCUCACCAAGGCGAAGAUAGGUAGCCGGCCUGAGAGGGUGGACGGCCACAAGGGGACUGAGAGACGGCCCUUACUCCUACGGGAGGCAGCAGUGGGGAAUAUUGGACAAUGGGGGCAACCCUGAUCCAGCAAUUCUGUGUGCACGAAGAAGGUUUUCGGAUUGUAAAGUGCUUUCAGCAGGGAAGAAGUAAGUGACGGUACCUGCAGAAGAAGCGACGGCUAAAUACGUG
rnacentral:rRNA from 1 species